GCAUGCCCGAUACAUUCCUCCCGGAUGUAUCGGGGGUUUAUAAACGACAGCCUGGCCUAACAGAAACAACGGUCGUCUGCGAAACUUGUGCUGUCUUCUGCAAGUACGCUGUAGCUGACACAGUGAAGAGCAUCAACCAAUCAUGAAGGUCCUUCUCCUGUUACUCGUCGUCAUUGGAUUGGCAGCAGCUGAUGCCUGGCCUGGGUGGGGACGUAGAAGUGCUGAUCCCGCCAAACGAAGCUUCUUCGCACCGCCAAAGAUUCCAGUUGGAAAUGGUCUGUGUUCUUAUCUGGACACCAUAAUACCGUGUUAGCAGAAGAGUCUACAACGGCACGUGACGAGGUGAAAGAAAAGACUCUCGCAAUAAAGCUGAAAAUAUGAAGCUCGAA